ACAUGUGUGUACGUAUGCGAUCAGAAGAAGGAGCCAGGAGAGCUCAAACCCUAGUUGUACAAAUCCUCCAAAUCGAAGCUCAAAUCAAGCCCGAAUCGUCUGCAUGAUUACAAAUUCGUGAUCGCCUAGUCGUGGGGAUCAUAAGGUGGGAGCUUGAAAAGGAAUGGGUCAAACGGAUCAUGGAUGCGAAGAAUGUUUGCGUGGAUGCGAGGGUAAAACGGCUUAUGGAAUUUACGUGGCUAUGAAUCAGCAAAUUAUUAAGGCAAGGUAUUAAAACGGGUCAACACUUUGACCCGCGCCAGGUACGCGUAAAUUGGGUGGAAGAUAUGUGAAUACCUUAAUGUAGAAAAAUGACAUGUGAAAGUAGAGAGUGGGAUUUAAACUUAAAUGAUUAAAUUCUCUCUAAUGGGUCAAAAUAUGCAUUUAAGCGUAGACGGGUCAAAAUCUUGUAAAAAGGUAAUAAGCCGAAUGCAUAAAAGUCUCAAAAUCUAUUAAGCCGGAUGUCGGACUUUAACUCCAUCUGAUGGAGAAUCAAAUUACAAACAUGUAGGAAGAAAUGGUAGGUCAAACGGACAAGCGAAUUUAAAGAUACGAAAGAUUUCGUGUCAAUUACGGCAAAAUGGAAAUGCUGAAUGCAGGGGCCACCGUAACUUACGGUGCCACCGUAAGUUACGGUGGAGCUGAAUUAUUUACGGUGGUUGCCUACUGUUGUACGGUAGGAAAAUUUUAUUACAGAGGCCACCGUAACUUACGGUGCCACCGUAAGUUACGGUGGAGGUCAUUUUCAAAUUUUUGUUUUUGGAGUCAAUGGUUUCCCGGACUCGUUUGGACGCGUUUUAAAGCCCGUAAGACUAAAGCAUUUCGUGUUUAUGAAAUGUAGGUACAUUUUGGAUGCCGGAAGACGAUCAAGCUCGACGAAGGACCGAACACGAUAUAGAUACAUGCUUCCGCACUUUAACACUUUGCAAAUUUUAAACAACGAAUUCAACCACGUUAUGUAGAAUAACUUAUGAAUUGUAAAAGUUUUAAUAAAUUCGUAUUUUUAUAGUAUGUGUAGGCUUAACUACACAUCUAAUUGUUGGCGUUUACAUAUAAAAUUGUUAAUUAGUAACUAGGGUGUUACAAGUUGGUAUCAGAGCCCUGGUUUAAGAGAUUCAAGUAUGGUGGGGAAAACCAUGCUUGGACUUAAACCUUAUGCUCUUGACAAAGAUUGGUGUUCGGUUCGAGGCUUGAUCGCAAAUCCGGUAAGUACCUCUAUGCUAAUAGUUUAGCAUGCUAAAGUGUUAUAAACAACACCUGGGGUUAUCGUGUGAUACACGUUACCUCAAUUAAGCGAUAAAUGUAGUUGACAAAGUUACGCGUGUUGACACAUAUAGUACAAAAGUCUUGUAUUAUGAUACGGGCAUUUAGUAAAGUUGACAUUACUAACUUUUGUGAAUGUCUUGAUUGAAGGACACUUGCGUUUAAAGAUGACAAAGGUUAAACAAAUUAAAGAUGUGAUAGAGGAACAGUCCGAGGCAUGACGAGAGGAACAUGCUCACUAAGGACUAAAUCGCGUAAAGACCGCGAACAAGGUUAAUGGCAAGAAACGCCCGUCGGGGCAAGCAUUAUCAGGUGCGUGCUUUUAAAUAUAAUCGCGCAAUUAGCAAUGUGCAACAAACAUGUAAAGAAUGAUUGUCGCAUAUGUAAAUUAGAAACUUGGGAAACCUGAAUAGAAUACCUAUCCAGGAUAUUAUCUCCAAGAAAACUAAAUAGAGGUGUUACUUACAUGGGGUGUGAUGUGAAAACUAUAAAAAGGUCGUGUAUGUCAUGUGUUAAUCGCUUACUCUGGCCAAGUAAGUAGUGGCAUAUGACACCAUGAGUUUCUUAUAGCGGACACAUUAUAUCUGAUGUAGUAAGGACGGGGUAAAUGGGACAAAUUAAAAAGUACCCAAAAGAAUCAAGUGAGCAAAAUAUUUGAUAAUAAUGUAAACGCACAGCCGAGUGACGGAAGCGUAUUACAUUAAGAUAAUGAGCCCGAGUGAAGGGACAAAGAAACACGUAAGAUGAUCAGAAUACGUAUCGGGAGGGGGGUGUACUUACACUCGAACCCGGAAAAUGCAAAUAUGUACAAUGAUGUAGACAUGUAUUGGGAGGGGGUGUACUUACACUCGAACCCGGAAAAUGCAAAUAUGUAAAAUGAUGUAGACAUGUAUUGGGAGGGGGUGUACUUACACUCGAACCCGGAAAAUGCAAAUAUGUAAAAUGAUGUAGACAUGUAUUGGGAGGGGGUGUACUUACACUCGAACCCGAAGAAUAUAAACAUGUAAAAUGAUCAAGAUAACACUCGAACCCGAAGAAUGCAAAUAAGACUCUUAACGGGCCGAUUUUGUAAAACACCAAAUUUGAGAACAAAGUAGGAAUAUAAAAGCGAAACGAAGUCAUAAUGCAUACCGUAAGGGUUGCAAUAAUAACGACUUCGGUAAAACACCCGGUUGGUGGGUAAGGAUUUAAACACAUGCGUAGACUGAGAAACAGGAACGCACAUGGAAAGUCAAAAGACUCGGGUUUUGGGUCAUGACCAAAGGACGAUAAGAUAACGGCAAAUAGAAAUUUUGAUGAAUUACGCUCAACUAUUUUAAAGUUGAACAGG
rnacentral:lncRNA from 1 species